UUCUCAUUUAUUAAGGCAAAGAUGAAAAGAAGCAUCAGAUGCAAAAUUUCAAGUGCAGAUUUUUCUUCCUUAGGAAUUCUUUGUUGAAAUGGACCCGUUCCUAAGAUGUGGAGCUGCACAUUUUUAGCUGGGUAUGUUACAGCUAAUGGAAACACUACAUUUUUCAGCCUCUUUUGCUGCUGGAUGCCCAAGUGAACGAGUCUUUGCCAAUGGGAUAUAAAUAGAAAUGACAUCUGUAAGUCCAUGGUUGUACUUUUAAGAAGUUGCAGGAUCAGGAAGAUGCUGUGUCUACAGACUGCAUCAACAGGCUUACCCUCCCUGCAGCUGUCCACUGAAUUGGGACAAUGGGAGCAUCAGCAAGAGAUUAGAGAGAGGAGGGCAGUGAGGCAAGAGUAUUGCCUCCUAUAGAUCCUCCCCUUGAGGGCCCUGCAGAAGGCAGCCUCCCUCAUGCAGUUUCCAGCUCCAAGAAGGCAAAUCUUUCUUCACAGUCCUCUUGGUCUCUGAAUUUCAGUAAUGGAUCCCCUUCUUCCUUCUUCCUCC